CCUCCCAAAUCCAACUCGCACAGUUGUGCGUAACCCGGAAAAUUAUUGUUAUAUUAAUGAUACGGUGCCUAACCAGGUCCCCGCGCACAUUCUUGAGAAUGUAGCUGCUGGCGGGGACACCGACGAGGAUUAUAUUCCGGAGCAAGCUGCUCCCGCUACUAACCCACACACCACACACAUGCCAUCUGAAAAUGUUGCAGGUACAUCCUCCAGCCAAAGACCCAGAAGAAGAAAUGUGGCACCAGCCACUCUUGAUGAGAAACCCACACACCACACACAUGCCAUCUGAAAAUGUUGCAGGUACAUCCUCCAGCCAAAGACCCAGAAGAAGAAAUGUGGCACCAGCCACUCUUGAUGAGAUCUAUGCUGAAUUGCUGCGGCGUAGCGAACUAG
rnacentral:lncRNA from 1 species